AGCAACUAACGACGUGGGUUGCGCUCGUUGCGGGACUUAACCCAACAUCUCACGACACGAGCUGACGACAGCCGUGCAGCACCUGUUUUCAAGCUCUAGCAAGCUAGCACUCCCGUAUCUCUACAGGAUUCUUUCAAUGUCAAGUCCAGGUAAGGUUCUUCGCGUAUCUUCGAAUUAAACCACAUGCUCCACCGCUUGUGCGGGUCCCCGUCAAUUCCUUUGAGUUUUAACCUUGCGGCCGUACUCCCCAGGCGGUCGACUUCACGCGUUAGCUGCGUCACUCAGUGCAUUGCUGCUCCGAACGACUAGUCGACAUCGUUUAGGGCGUGGACUACCAGGGUAUCUAAUCCUGUUUGCUCCCCACGCUUUCGUGCAUGAGCGUCAGUACAGGCCCAGGGGGCUGCCUUCGCCAUCGGUGUUCCUCCUGAUAUCUACGCAUUUCACUGCUACACCAGGAAUUCCACCCCCCUCUGCCGUACUCUAGCCUUGCAGUCACAAACGCAGUUCCCAGGUUAAGCCCGGGGAUUUCACAUCUGUCUUACAAAACCGCCUGCGCACGCUUUACGCCCAGUAAUUCCGAUUAACGCUCGCACCCUACGUAUUACCGCGGCCUGCUGGCAC
rnacentral:rRNA from 1 species